UAUUGGACAAUGGGGGGAACCCUGAUCCAGCGACGCCGCGUGAGUGAAGAAGUAUCUCGGUAUGUAAAGCUCUAUCAGCAGGGAAGAAAGAGAUGACGGUACCUGAGUAAGAAGCCCCGGCUAACUACGUGCCAGCAGCCGCGGUAAUACGUAGGGGGCAAGCGUUAUCCGGAUUUACUGGGUGUAAAGGGAGCGCAGACGGCAGUGCAAGUCUGGAGUGAAAGCCCGAGGCCCAACCCCGGAACUGCUCUGGAAACUGUGCGGCUAGAGUACUGGAGGGGCAGGCGGAAUUCCUAGUGUAGCGGUGAAAUGCGUAGAUAUUAGGAGGAACACCAGUGGCGAAGGCGGCCUGCUGGACAGUAACUGACGUUGAGGCUCGAAAGCGUGGGGAGCAAACAGG
rnacentral:rRNA from 1 species